UGUUUUUUUUUCUUUUCUUCCUUGCUGCACGUUACUAGAUGGAUUAGUGUGCGUCACGUGUUACUCCUCAAACAAUCCACCGCCAUAAGCAACCCCACCAACUUUCUCCACCGCCUUAUCUCCCUGUCAAUGGUGCCAUUUAUCUCCCCUACGCAACACCCAUUAUUAUUCGGUGCCAAUAUUCAAAUUACAUUUGGAAUCGGAAUCGAAAGGGAAAACCUGUCACAGCCUCCGCUCCUUUCUUCUUCUACCCUUUGCUCCCUCUACCGCCAACCACUUCCUGAUCCUUUUUAUUCGGGAACAGUUCAUCGCCACCGCCAUCCUAUCCGGUCCGGCAGGGUUACCGCCUCGGUUUGAUCGUGUUGCCGUUUCCACCAACUUGGAUUACCCUUCUGUCUUCAGUUUUCGUCUCCAUUGCAACCGUAAACAACGGUUUCGCUUACGGCUUAGGCUCCAUCUCUCGAAACAUAGGUCCCAACUCCAGAAACUUGCGAUACAUGGAGCUUGGGGGUUUAUAUCUCCUAGCAUUGGUAAACUCACUAGACUACAGACACCGUCGUAGGGAAGGCACCUUCUGGCCACCACCAUAGAUAUCGAGCAUGGAAGGCAGCGAAAGGCAAUCGACUAAGCUUGUAGAAAGACCGAACGGAAAGACUAAAAACUUGCUCACCAGAAGAAAAGGGAUCUAUCAAUAGAUCCUCUUUAUUCAGAUUGUACAAAUGUACAAUGACAGCACCACUACGCAAACCAGUGCAGGAAAAACUAAGCUCUUAUUCUUUGUUGCCUUUCUAUGGUAUUCAAUAUUGCUUGCAUCUUAAUAUUAUUUUUUAGUUGUUCAUAUUAUGAAUUAUAUCACACACAUGGCUGGUUGUUGUUGUACACGGGUAACCGUUGGUUUAGAUUCAAAGUAGGGAUUUCAAUUCAUAUGGUGGUCAAUCGAUUCCAGUUAGGGGAAUUUGGCAAAGGGUAAAAUUUGAAAACCACCACACUAUAAGUUUUUUAUUGCAUAAUUGUCUUCAGAUUCUUAAAACUAAGAAGUUAUUUUCUUCUAAAGCCAUCAAAUUCUUACAGUUAUGGUAACCGGACGCUAAUGAUCCACACUUAUUUAUCAUUACAGGUUAUAACAAAUGAUGUGGAUGUACAACGAUGCAAUCUUCUUAUUCACCAAACAAAGAGAAUGUGCACUUCUAACUUGGCUGUGACGAAUCACAAAGCACAACAUUUCCCGAGUUGUCGCUGGAAAAAGAAUAAUACCACAAAUGGUUCUGAUUUGGGGGGUAUGAGUAUGACUGAACUUUUAUUUGAUUGUGUGCUCUGUGAUGUUCCAUGCAGUGGAGAUGGUACUCUCCGUAAGGCCCCUGAUAUUUGGAAAAAAUGGAGUGUGGGGAUGGCCAAUGGUGUCCAUUGUCUGCAACUUCAGAUAGCCAUGCGAGGAUUGUUUAGAUAAGAACAUGUGGUUUAAAGGUGGUUUUAAAGAGCUGACAGGGGUUUACUGUCAAAUUAAGUGUUCAUAAGAUUGUUAUUAAAGAAAAAAGGUUUUUUUCUGAGAAAUUACUAGCAAGGCGUUUGAUUAGAUGCUUGGACCAAUACACAACCUUCUAAUGCAACCAGUUGGCCAAGAAGAAUGAAGAAUUGUUGCUGCUUUAAUGAGUAGACAUAUUGGUGGAGGUACUGAGCUAUAGCAUACAUUAAUUUCCCAAUACAAAGCCCGAAGUUGCUUUGCUUGGCCACAAGAAUCACCUCUGUCACAGCCACAACAGCCACAUCAGAAUUAGCAACCUCCAUUGCAGCCCCAACAACAAGAAGGAUGGGUAGAACAAAAUGUUGUUCGUGUUCAGUCUCCUAAUCAGGUUAAUAGUGACAAUGGUGUAAAGGAGGUGGAAACAGAAAUAGAAGCAGAAGCAGAAGCUGAGAAUGUGGACGACUCGCCUACAUUUUGGACAGCAUGUCCUUACUGUUUCUACAUGUAUAAGUAUUAAAGGGUAUAUCUGAUUGAUCAAAUAAACAAAUAGCUGAUCAAAUAACAUUUACGAAGAACAAACAACGGAAAAAACUGUAGCAUCCGACCCCCGCAACGCGGGGGUUCCCCAUCUAGUUAGUAUUGAUCAAGAAUUAAUCUAGGAUUAAUUAAGUGAUCAAAAGAAGACUAAUUAAAUAUAUGGGUUGAUUGUGUAAAUCAUCCAUACUUAUAUAGUGGGCUAAUGCUCUAUGGAUUGUCAAGUUGGGCUAAAACCCAUAAGAUGCUCCAUGGAUGCUCCAUGAUGUAUUUGUACCCAUGGAUCAUGGAAAUGAAAGGCCAUGACAAUUAGGGUUUACAUGGUGUAACCCUAACUAUAUAAUGAUCUUAUUCUUGGAGACAAUCGGUCACUAUGUGUGAUAGAAAGGGCUAGCCGAUUUUAUGAAGUGUUCCAAUUUCUCUCAAGUCAUUCCAUGUGUAUUUGGUGUUGUGUGAACCAUUUGAGGUAUCACACUUGGGGCACUAGGCACUCAAGCUUCAUGAAAACAUUCUACAUCAAAGAGGUAUGUAAUUCUAACUUGAGAUAUUCAUAUGAA